CGCGUAGGCGGCCUGUUAAGUCUGGAGUGAAAGUCCUGUUUUUAAGGCGGGAAUUGCUUUGGAUACUGAUGGGCUUGAGUGCAGGAGAGGUUAUCGGAAUUCCCGGUGUAGCGGUGAAAUGCGUAGAGAUCGGGAGGAACACCAGUGGCGAAGGCGGGUAACUGGACUGCAACUGACGCUGAGGCGCGAAAGCGUGGGUAGCAAACA
rnacentral:rRNA from 1 species